UUUUUACAAUGAAGAGUUUGAUCCUGGCUCAGGAUGAACGCUAGCGGCAGGCCUAACACAUGCAAGUCGAACGGUAACA
rnacentral:rRNA from 1 species